UGGUCGGCAGUUCACCAAGGCGUCGCUGUCCCCUCGGGGAAGCUAAACCUGCCU
rfam:Rhodopseudomonas palustris CGA009 complete genome.